AAUGAACGCUGGCGGCAUGCCUAACACAUGCAAGUCGAACGAAGCCUUCGGGUUUAGUGGCGCACGGGUGCGUAACGCGUGGGAAUCUGCCCCUUGGUUCGGAAUAACAGUUGGAAACGACUGCUAAUACCGGAUGAUGACGUAAGUCCAAAGAUUUAUCGCCGAGGGAUGAGCCCGCGUAGGAUUAGGUAGUUGGUGUGGUAAAGGCGCACCAAGCCGACGAUCCUUAGCUGGUCUGAGAGGAUGAUCAGCCACACUGGGACUGAGACACGGCCCAGAC
rnacentral:rRNA from 1 species